AUUUCAUAUUCUAAUCCCCAUUCAAGUAUUUGUGUAGGAGACAACUAGAAGGCAAGGCAAUCUGUGGUAAUAAAGAGUGCAGGACUGGUGGUUGUGUAAACAUGAAGUUCAUUACCUUGUUUUCUGUGGGUUUUUGUAGGUAACAAGAUGAUUUUUAAGGUCCCUUCCAAACCAGGCCAUGCUGUGAGUCUAUUAUGCCAAAUUUGUGCAGUUGGUAGACAUGUCUACUUCGGAUUUGCUUCUGUUAAGUCAACCCUGAGGAUGUAAAAUAAAAAUGAAAGGGAACAACAGGAGCUUGUUACUGGAUAAAAGAUUGCAAACCAAGUGUCAGCAGUGAGAGCCACAAGGAAUUUGUGUUGGGCAAGUCCAGAAAUGAGGAUGCUGGAGGCAGCCCCAGUGCUGGGGUUGGUUCUCUGUGGAAAAUGCACAUGGGAUGGAUUUGAUUUAUUUUGGGGGGCCUGGAAUAAUGAAGAAGUGCAUGCUGAUGUUCAGUAACAUUUCAUUGUGAAGCCAAUUGCCUGGGCAGUGUCACCUGUUGGGUACCUAAUGCAGUCCUGGGAGAAGGGACAUGAGGUUUUGGGUGUGAUGGGGAGGGGGUGGAGGAUGGGGACUGCAAGCAGAGCAGGGAAAGUCAUUAGAAAAUAAGAAGUGUUUUCAAAAACUCUGUGAGGAUCUGAUUGCCAUCUGAGUUCUGUCACUUCAGAGUAUAAACACAGCAUGAUUAUUGGAAUUGAAGUGUUUCUACUGCGGAGCGUGAAGCAAGGUCAAAAAGGAGAGUAAUUUGGAUUGUGCAAGUUAAACAAUGAUUUUUUAAAAAUACUUUGCCACAGAGCUAUCAAAAAAUGGCAAUUGAUGAAGAGGCCAGGGAAGAGGUUGUAACUGUGAUGAUGAUGAUUUCUACUUCGUGGUUUUCCACACUUUCAAACCCUUGAGCCAACCAUGGGAUACACAUGGACCCAGCAGAGUUGUGCCAAGAUUGGUUCUGAGGCAUCUGCUCUGAGUCACCCUUGCUCCAGCAAAGAUGAGAGCUGACAUCGGCUCAAUGCUGCCUAAAGUGACUUUAAAGAUGUUGUUAGAGGCUUCUUUUCACAGGGUCAGCCACUAAAAUAACUUUAUCUGCA